rnacentral:snRNA from 1 species
AACUUUGUGCAGUGGUAGUAUCAUAGCCAAUGAGGUUUAUCCAAGCCNCAGUUAUUGCUAAUUGAAAUCUUUUCACUAUGGCAAGGUGGUAAUCCCUGACAGAACUCCUUGACCAACACUGCAAUGAAAAACUAAAAGUU